rnacentral:rRNA from 1 species
GACGAACGCUGGCGGCGUGCUUAACACAUGCAAGUCGAGCGGUAAGGCCCUUUCGGGGGUACACGAGCGGCGAACGGGUGAGUAACACGUGGGUGACCUGCCCUCAGCUCUGGGAUAAGCCUGGGAAACUGGGUCUAAUACCGGAUAUGACUCCAUGACGCAUGUUGUGGGGUGGAAAGCCUUGUGCGGCUGAGGAUGGGCCCGCGGCCUAUCAGCUUGUUGGUGGGGGAUGGCCUACCAAGGCGACGACGGGUAGCCGGCCUGAGAGGGCGACCGGCCACACUGGGACUGAGACACGGCCCAGACUCCUACGGGAGGCAGCAGUGGGGAAUCUUGCGCAAUGGGCGAAAGCCUGACGCAGCGACGCCGCGUGAGGGGAU